GCCUGGGUGGCUCGGUUGGUUAAGCGUCUGACUUCGGCUCAGGUCAUGAUCUCACGUUUUGUGGGUUCGAGCCCCAUGUCGGGCU
rnacentral:tRNA from 1 species